ACGAUUGUGAAAUAGUCUUACUUUUAUUAAGGAGUUAUGUGUAUACUAAUUAAUAGUUAUUCAGACACUAUUGUGUGUUAAACAUAAUCCAGAUAAUAUCACUUGAGUGAGAUUUUAACAAGUGGAACUAAUACCAUACAUAGCAAUUUAAUAAUUUACAUGAAAAGUAUAAUUGGUUUAGCAUUCAAAAUAAAGGCUAUUUAAGCAGGCAUAUAUUGUGCCAGUUGCUUUUAAAGUUUUUAUGUAACCUAUAAUUAAAAAGAUUAAUGUGAGAUAUCUUUCAGUGACUCUACAGAAUCAGAGCUUGACCUCCCAUGGACCCUUGAUUAUCAUCUCAAACACUGAGUGUUGCACUGGCUCUUCGCAUCCAGGUGAAGAAGUAAGAGCAGAUAACUGGGCAGCUAUCAUCUACUGGUUAGGACAUGUCUUCCCUGUUGGCCAACAUAGAAGCAGCUUCUCUUUUGGCAUAUACUAUUCCUUCUAGUGUCCAGUACAUCUGGAGUCGAAUUAUGGAUUAAUGUAUCCUAGAAUCCUGAAGAUCAAGUAUAUCUAUACACAUGAGAACGAAGCAGAAACUCAGCGAAUGAAGGAAUUUGAAAAUUAUGAUCCUGGCUACCAGGAAACCUGAGGAAGGGGAAUGUGAGGGGAAACUGACUUACUCCAGCUCACUCCAGCUGCCUGAAUGAGAAGAGAAUGAAGAGGAAAUUUAUGUGCUCUCUCUGUUACCCAACUCGAUCCUCAACAAGACUGAGGGAAGAUGGAGAAGAAAGGAGUUCAGAAAGAAAGGAAUUCAAAAAGGACCUAAACCGGGCUCCUCAGUCUUGGCCUCAUUGACUUAUGAGGCCAGAUACUUCUUUAUUUUGGGUGGGCUGUCCUUCACAUUGCAAGAUUUUUAGCAACAUCCCUGACCUUUGCCCACUAGAUGUACGUAGCACCUCCAUCCUGUUGUGACAACCAAAACAGGAUCGAAAUGGACAUCUUUAGAAGCUUUUUCUUAGACAAUUCUAAAUGCUCCCUUAAUCUGAAGCAGAAUUGCCAUAUAUCACACGCUAAUUCCUUGCCUGGGCACAUGCUAACCCCUUGCCUCUCUUAUCCCUACCUCAGUAGGAGCCUACCUGGUUAUCUUGGAAUGCUGCCCUCCUCUGUCCUAAUGGAGCCCUAUCCCCUCUGUGAGGCUCCAGUAUUUUAGACAUGCUUACUCUCUCCCAGAGGUGAUUCCAACAGCACACCCCUUCUCUCCACUCUGAACAGUGUAGAUUGAAUCUCUUCACUUAUUGCAAAUCUGGAAAUUCUGUGAUCUCUGGGAAGAUUUUUGGGAAAGAAAUCCAUGGCAACUGGAAUCUUGAAAUUUCUUAUUUCUAAAUGACAGCUGUAUGGAGAAGGAAGACCACAGAGAUGGUAGGUCAAAGAUAAAGCAGGGUAAUUCACAAUUGGUUAUUUCAAUUGAUCUUUGUCAUUUAGAUCACCUACAUUGCAUUAGAGGCCAUACCCAGUAAGAGGGGAAAUGCUACUUCCAUCGUUUACAAGUAUUGUGACCCACAGACACUCAGCUUCCCUCAGCCUUGGUUUAUCUACAACAUGGAGCAGGUACGAUGAACAUAUCUCUAAGGCUGUGGUUUUACACAGCAGUAGUGCUGAGCUGUCACAAAUCUGGCUCACAUCAUCAAGAAAAGCUAAAUAUUUAAUAUACACCAUUUCAGAUUAAGGGAGCAUUUAGAAUUGUCUAAGAAACAGCUUCUAAAGAUGUCCAUCAAAAAAAAAAGAGAGAAAAAGAUUAAAGUAAAACAUCUCAGUAUGCUUCUAAAAAAAUUUAUUCCAGUAGAAUAUUAUCUUACUUAUGUGGGUUCUAGGUAGUUCACUGACCUUUCCAAAUUCUAAAAUAUUCUAAACUUGUAAGUUCAGGUAUUAUCUCUUACCUAAGGAAUUAUUGCGGAAAAGCCAUCUCUCUCUCUCUCUCUUUUUUUUUUUUUCGUUUAUAUUUGGAGGAUGUUGUUUUAACUCUUACCUGGGCUUCUGAAUCUCCACCUAGAAAAAGGACUCUUAAACUCAGAUGUAAAGCAGAAGAAAGUGACUUUCUGAAAUAGAAAAGGGGACAAGAAAAUGGUAAAAUAU